AAAAAAAAAAAAAAAAAAAAAGAAUGAAAGAGUUUGUCAUUUUUUGUUCUAUCAAUGGAUAUAAUGUAAAGACAAUUCAAGUAAGGGUUUAUUAUUUCUUGUCUGGAAAUAUCCAAAUUUUUAUGCCCAAUACCCCAUAAAUAGUUCUAACUGUAUACGAACAAUAAUCAAUUUUAGCUCCAAUGGUUUGUAGAGGAACUCUACCCUCUCUAAUCCAUUCGACGCGUGCAAUUUCUUUUCCGUCAAGACGUCCCGCAAUUUGCACUUGAAUUCCUUUUGUAUCUGUCUGUUCAGUUAAUUCAAUAGCUUUUUUCAUUGCUUUGCGAAAUGAAACUCUAUUCUUUAAUUGUCCGGCUAUAAAUUCUGCAAGAAUAGUAGGGUGCCCAUAGGGGUUUGUAAUUCUUGUAAUAGUAAUAUUGAGUUUUCGAUUCACACAAUUAAGUUCUUUUUGUACAUUCAUCUGCAAUUCUUCGAUUCGUUUAGGUCUACUUUCUAUUAAUAAUUUUUGGAAUCCCAUAUAUAUUAUGACCUGAAUCACAUCAAUUCGUUUUUGAAUCUCUAUACGUGCAAUUCCUUCAAUACCAGAAGAUAUUUUCGCAUUUUUUUUUACAUAAUUCUUGAUACAGUUUCUUAUUUUUUGAUCUUCUUGUAGACCCUCAGAGUAAUUUUUUGGUUGUGCAAACCAAAGAGAAUGAUGACUUUGGGUUGUACCAAGUCUGAAACCAAGUGGAUUUAUUUUUUGUCCCAUAAUCCCCCACUAUUUACUAUACAUAUCAUGAAAUGUCGUAUCUGUGGAUUUCAUUUUUUUUAUCCAUCCCCGGUUUUUUGAUCAUAUGUUAUAUUCUUCAUAUUCUUCAUAUAAGGAUAUAUUUUUUAAUAUAAUAGUUAUAUGACAAGUUGAUCUUUUUAUCAGAUAACCCCGUCCUCGAGCCUGAGGUUUUAAUUUUUUCACAGUAGUGCCUUCAUUGACUUCGGCUUUACUAAUGAUUAAAUUGACUUCGUUGAAACCCAUAUUGUGACUAGCAUUUGCUGCUGCAGAAUAAAUCAAUUUAAAAAGGGGAUAACAUGCUCGAUAAGGCAUGAGCUCGAGUAUCAUAAGUGUUUCUUCGUAAGAACGUCCACGAAUCUGAUCAAUUAUUCUUCGUGCUUUGUGAGGGGACAUACAUAUAUGUUGGCCUAAAGCAUAUACUUCUGUAUAUGGGUCUCUCUUUCUCUUUCUUUUAUUUAUCAUAAGAUUCACCUCUUUUUAAUGAACGAAAAAUAUUUAUAUUUGAUUUGCCUUUUUUUUUAAUAUUAAUGGAAUUAAUAUUAACGAUGAGAUUUAUUAUCAUUUUUUGCAUGUCCCUGGAAAUUUAGAGUAGGUGAAAAUUCUCCCAAUUUAUGACCCACCAUACGGUCUGUUAUAUAAAUAGGUAAAUGUUCCUUUCCAUUAUGGAUAGCAAUAGUAUGGCCAAUCAUUGUGGGUAUAAUGGUAGAUGUCCGGGACCACGUUUUUAUUAUUUGUUUUUCUGCUUUAUUGUUAAGCUUAUUUAUUUUUUUUAAUAAAUGAUUUGCUACAAAAGGAUUUUUUUUUAGUGAACGUGUCACAGUUAAUUCUCCUAUUUUUUUUUUUUUUUUUUUUUAUUUAUUUUUUUUUUUUUUUUUUUUAUAUUUUUUUUUUUUUUUUUUUUUUAUAUUUUUUUUUUUUUUUUUUUUUUAUAUU
rnacentral:misc_RNA from 1 species